GAGAUGGACAGGGAGUGGGUUGUAGAGUAGGUGGACAGACAGAGCAUGUAGAAGAGGUGGACAGAAAGGGGGGAAGGAGGAGAUGGACAGAGAGUGGGAUGUAGAGGAGGUGCACAGACAGAGGGUGUAGAGGAGAUGGACAGGGAGUGGGUUGUAGAGUAGGUGGACAGACAGAGCAUGUAGAAGAGAUGGACAGAAAGGAGGGAAGGAGGAGAUGGACAGAGAGUGGGAUGUAGAGGAGGUGCACAGACAGAGGGUGUAGAGGAGAUGGACAGGGAGUGGGUUGUAGAGUAGGUGGACAGACAGAGCAUGUAGAAGAGAUGGUCAGA